CCAUAAUUGAGUACCAUUAUCAUCACCACUCAUCCAGCCAGGCCUUCGAGUGCCCGCAUUGAUUCUUCGAAUUUCGCUUUCCGUCGUCUUGACAGGGGUGCUUGACCUAACGGCUGUCAGUCUUCGGCUUCGUCUUCGGCUUCAUCUUCGUCUUCGUCCACCAUUGGCUUCUUACUCCAUGUCGUUGGUGUGCCGUCUCCUGGUGGUCCUGCUGCUCGUGGGGCAGAGCUGCGUGCUGGCAAUGAUAAACUCUGAAGGCCUGGCCGAAUGUGGCGAUCACUGCGGCGGCUUCUUUCAAGUCAUGUGCGUGGCCGAGUGUAACUGUGUCUCCUACAAAAGCAGCACAUUCGGCGUCUGCCGGCCAUCCAUCUUCAACGAGACUGAGCUGGAUGAUGGUAUACCGUACUUCUGACGGGCCACAGCCCUUAAACUAAAGAUAGCUUUGAAAUACGCCAUUUCUAUGUUCCUUCUUCAAACACAACGCGCAGUUUUAUAAUUAAAAAGUGCACCUGAA